AUGAAUACGAAAAAUUGUUCACAUAUUGAAGAAUAUUGUGAAUUCAUAAAAUGCUCAAGUCAAUUUCAAAAAAUAUAUGUGGAUUCUAAAACAACUUUCGCAAAUUCCAAAAAGUUCACAUAUUCGAAAAAUGUUUACGUAUUCAAGACAAUUGUAAACUCCAAAAUGUUCACGAAUUCAAAAAUUGUUCAUGGUGAAUUCAAAAAUUGUGCAUGGAUUCUAAAAAAUGUAUGCAAAUUCCAAAAACGUCACGUGUUCAAAAAAUGUUCACAUCUUCAAAAAAAAUCUUCACAAAUAGGGAAUUUUAAAAAAAAUCAAAAAUCACAAAUGCGAAAAACACUAAAAAAUUGUUCACGAAUUUUAAAGUUCAUGGAUAGAAAAUUGUUCACAAAUUUGAAGAAGGUUCAACAAAAUUAA
rnacentral:rRNA from 1 species